UAAAUAAAGCAGCAGAAAUACCUGUUGGGGAGAAAUAGGUAAACUGGAGGAAGUGAACAACUGGGCUGAUUCUGACCAUAGUGAAGACUCCAGGGCUACAAACUGAAUUUCAGCACUGAUGCAAAGCCUAAGGUUCUACCCUCCAUGGGACUGGUGUGUACUACCUGGCCUGGAGGAGUAGAUCCCGACACAUCUCCUAAAUCUCGCAGUGGGCAGAGCGGAGCCCAGACAUGCUAGCUCCUGACACUCUGCCCUCUGAGCCUUCCCUGCCCUCCCCACCUGGUUCCCUCAACUCUCCCAAUGAAAUCAAGAGAAGAAAACAAAUAGAAGAGGAAGAUCGUCAAGAAGUCACCCACACGCUAUCAGAACAAAUAAAAUGAAUGGCUGAAAUUCCCCAAACACGAGCAAAUGAAAAGAAAAAGCAUAGCAACUGUAAAACUAUCCUGCAGGGUGGAAAAGGCAACGGAUGAAGAAAAUGACCAGAAACCCAAAUGAGAGGAAACCUGACUCAAGCAAUGAAGGCAAUUCCUCCCAAUUCUGCACGCUCUACUGCUUAAUUAGAAAGUGAAUUAGGUGAAACAGGAACUCAAAGAAGAGAUAGUAAAAUUGAAAUGAGAUGAAAAGAGAGAUUUCAGAUAUAGGGAAACAAAUAGAGGGCAGAAUUAUUAUAGAGUUAAAAUAUAAACUAGAAAUAAGAAACAAAAUACUGUUAAAAAUUGAAUUAUGAUGUAGAGGAAAGGCUUAAGACAAUCACAGUGAAUAUAAAUGAUAAAGAAAUGGGUAUGAAAGAGAGGAAAAUGUGACUGAAUAUAAGGAUAAUUGGUGUCCCUUAAGUAGAGAGUCCAACACAUGGAACAAAAGAUGUAUUCAAAUGUAUAAUCAAGGGAAUUUCCAUGAAAUGAAGGACUGAAUAUACAAAUAAACGGAAUAGACUGUAUUCCAAGAAAAAUGUAAUACAGAAUGUUAAAUACUAAAGUGUACUCUAGGCUGGGCACGAUGGCUCAAGCCUGUAAUUCUGGUGCUUUGGAAGGCCAAGGUGGGCAGAUUGCUUGAGCCCAGGAAUUUGAGACCAGCCUGGGCAAUGUGGUGAAAUCCCAUCUCUACAAAAAAUACAAAAACUAGCCAGGCGUGGUGGUGCAAACUUGUGGACCCAGCUACUCCGGAGGCUGAUGUGGGAGGAUUGCUUGAGCCCAGAAAAUUGAGGUUGAGGUGAGCAAUGAUCAUGCCACUGCACUCCAGCCUGGGCAACAGAGUGAGACCCUGUCCCAAACAAGAAACAAAAAACAAAACAAGAAAAAAUGUACUCUAAUUAAAUUAGCGAACUUUAGUGAUAAAAAAUUUUUCAAGUAUCUUAAUAGAAAAAGUGAAUCUUGCCAGGGGUGCAAAACCCAGGGAGGAUUCAGCCUUCUUCACAGCAACAUUCAAGACCAGGAUACAGUGAAGACAAAGCGCAGCCAGGGUCUCACUCUGUUGCCCAGGCUGGAGUGCACUGGCUCAAUCAUCGCUCACUACAGCCUCCACCUCCCAGGUUCAAGGAAUCCUCCUGCCUCAGCCUCCUUAGUAGCUGGGACCAGAGGUGUGCACCAUCACACCCAACUUUUUUUUUUUUUUAAUACAGAGAUGGGGUCCCACCAUGUUUCCUAGGCUGGUCUCAAACUCUUGGACUCAAGAGAUCUGCUCAUCUCAACCUCCCAAACAGCUGGGAUUACAGGCAUGAGCCACUACAUCCACCCUAAACGUUUUUAAAAAUAUUUUUAUCACUAGGGAAUAAUUAAGGAAGACAAUAGCACAUUGUCUGUAAAAAAAAAAAAAAAUGUGACUGAGAAAAUGAGACCCAGACAAGAUGCCAUUUCAGUAUAAAGGCCAAGGCACAAUCCCAAACAUGAAAACACGACAAGGAAUGUAACACCCGUGAGUGCUUCUUGGGAGAAAAAAGCCUGCUUGUUUUAAAAUCUAACCUGUAAGGAGAAUGAAUCACAUGAAAAACUCAAGAAUGGAGAGAGCACUGUAGAAAGACUUAGAAUACUGAAUCCAUUUAAAUGUAGAAUUAUGGCAUUAAAGAGAGAAAACAGUGAAAUUGUGACUUCAAAAUAAAAUAUACAUGUUAUAAACUUGAACAAUAUCCUCAUCAUCACAACAUUUUCUUUCUUUCUUUUUUUUUGAGACAGAGUCUCCCUCUGUCACCCAGGCUGGAGUGCAGUGGCGCCAUCUUAGCUCAUUGCAAACCCUCCCUCUCAGGUUCAAGCGAUUCUCUGGCCUCAGCCUCCCAAGUAACUGGGAUUACAGGUGCUCGCCAUCACACCCGGCUAAUUUUUGUAUUUUUUUUAGUAGAGACUGGGUUUCACCAUGUUGGCCAGGCUGGUCUCUAACUCCUGACCUCUGGUGAUCCACCCACCUCGGCCUCCCAAAGUGCUGGGAUUACAGGUGUGAGCCACUGCGCCUGGCCCACAACAUUUUUUUAAUGAAAAAUAAGAGAUGAGUUUUCAUAUCUGGCCAUGUGGCAGCGACUGAUAUUCAAUGGGUACUCACCUGCUUUAAAGAACUGUAAAAGUGGGCAAAAUAGACAAUACAACUGUUUCCAGGAAUUAGACCCCAAGGGACACAGGGCUGAUCCUUGAGAGCCGGGAAACCCACAGGUGACCCCACAACCACCCCUGGGGGCACUCUCUGGACCCCAGUAAGGAGAUGAAGAGAUGUGGUCUCGCUGAGCUGGGAAGGAAGAGCUCAGAGAAGAUGGAGGCUGCUGAAGUCACUGGAAUUUGCGGGGGCAGGGAACUGGAGAGGAGAAGCUGCCCAGAAGAGGAGCCCAGGACUGUAGGUGGGGGUCUUCUGGGGGAGGGCUGGACAGGGUAAGACUCAGAAGGCCCAGCAAUGAGAAGCGCUGUGCAGCUGACAGCUGCCUGGAGACCCCAGGAGCCUGCUGGGGCUGAAGGAUGCUGGCCUUCCCAUGACGUGGAGUGGACGGGUCUUGCUAAACCCCCGGGGUGUCCAGCUCAACCCCAGCAAGGAGGAAACCUAAAGAGAAGAUAAGGUGGGCAUGGGACACUCAGACAUGAAAUCAGGAACAGUCUAAAGUCGGAACUAGUAAAACCUAUAUCGAUUCCAGGACAAAACCAAAAUCAGGGCAAGGAGACAAACAGUUUCAUCAUUAAAUAAAAAACCAACUUAGAGGAAGCAACUUGUACCCUAAUGCCCAGCUGGAAGAUGCUUUCAGACAUGUACUCUUAAUUCAACCUGUGUCAACACAAAAUGAAAGGCAUUUUUCUCCCACUACAGUAUUCCCCAUGAAACAAAGAUCAAGAUUAUCGUGUAGGGCAAUUAAUGCUGUGUUUAAACGUCUCCUUUUGAGAAUAAUGCUUUAGUGUUUGUGAAAGUGUCUUUCAACUUUUAAUGACUUUUAUUUGUUGUUUAUUUGGUGUUAAUCUUCUCUUUUAGUUUUCUGUUAUCAAAUGUCUUUAUCACGUAGAGAUUAUUUUUAUGUUAUUGAAAUAAUCUAUAAGUACCAUACAUUUUCUCAUAACAACAAUUAUGAUUAUUAUUUUAAAUAGAAACAGAAAACUUUUGAAACAUUUAUGAUAACCCUGACACAGGAACAUGAUUCACUGUUUCUUUUUUUUUUUUUUUUUUUGAGACGGAGUUUUACUCUCAUUUCCCAGGCUGGAGUGCAGUUGCGCGAUCUCUGCUCACUGCAGCUUCCACCUCCCAGGUUCAAGCGAUUCUUCCCGCCUGUCUCCCAAGUAGCUGGGAUUACAGACGUGCGCAGCCACCCCACCCGGCUAAUUUUUUUGUAUUUUUACAAGAGACAGGGUUUCACCAUGUUGGCUAGGCUGGUCUCAAAUUCCUAACCUCAGGUGAUCUGCCCACCUUGGCCUCCCAAAGUGCUGGGAUUAUAGGCGUGAGCCACCAAGCCCAACCUCAUUAUUUCUUAUUAUGGUCACUCUGUUAUCAUUUAAAAACAUGUAAAUCGGUGGGGUUUUUUUUGUUUUGUUUUGUUUUGAGACAGGAUCUUGCACUGUCGCCCAGGCUGAAGAAAUCAUAGUGAUGAAAUCAUAGCUCACUGCAGCCUGGAUCUCCUGGGCUCAAGUGAUCCUCCCACCUCAGCCUCCUGAGUAGCUGGGACUACGGGUUCACAUCACUACACUUGGCUAAUUUUUUGACUUUUAGUAGAGACAAAGUCUCACUAUGUUGCCCAGGCUGGUCUUGAACUCCCCCACCUCAGCCUCCCAAAGUGCUGGGAUUACAGGCAUGAGCCACUGCACCCAGCAUAAUAGUAUUAUAAAAAUACAGAACAAUUUAUAAGUUUUGAGACAUCCCAAAAAAUCCUGGGAACUAUGAUUUGUUCCUGAAUCCCAAAGAUUAAUAUAGAACUUUUUUGACUGGUGAGCAUGUUCUUCAAACUCUAGCUCACAUGUCCUAUCUUCUUUAAAAAAACUUUCUGUAUUAGCCAAGGCUGAUGGUUGCAAAUGCCAAAAAUCUAAUACAGUGGGCAAAGGGGUACUUUAUUGAUUCAUGUAACUGGGAGUGGUUGUAGCUUCAGGCACAAGAGGACCCAGAGGUUCAGAGUGUCAUGGCCUCUCUCUCUCUCUCUCUCUCUCUCUCUCCAGUUUCUCCUCUGACUUAGAUUUAGUUUUCCUCCACCUAAAGCUAAAGUUAGUCACACUGGGAGCUCCAGAUGUGUGUUAUCCUUAAGUCUCAUGAUCCCAGACAAAGAGAGAGUGAACGCUUCUCUAAUAGGUUUGGUGAAAGUCCCCAGGAGCUUUUGGAUUGCCCCAGCAUGUGCCCCAUGCACAUCCCUGAGCCCGUGACUGUCAGCAGGAAGACAGAAUACCCUCAUGGCCAACCUUGGACCACCUGCCCUCCUCUGGGAUCAGUCCUACCUGACUCCAUGGAAUAGAUCCCCCAUAAGAAAGAUGGAUUCUAUGUGAAGAAGGCAGGGCUGUGAUGCUGGGUACUGGGAAGUGACAGAUGUCCCCCUCACCCUCCAUUGUUUUCUCCUUCCCCGAAGAAUCAGUACCUCCCUCACUUGCAUGCCCAUGGCUUUGGAUUCUUCCUGUGUUGUAUUUCUUCUCACAGCACACUCUUGUAGGCACAUCCAUCUCACAGAUCCAUCCAUCCGUGAGUUCCUCCAGGAACUGGUCUUGCUCCUGUGGCACUCCAGCACCUAGCAUGUACCUGGCAUGUAGUAGGUACUCCAUAGCUAAUAUUUAUUGGAAUUUAUUACCUGUCAUGCACUAUUCAAAGUUGUAUAUGAACUAGUUUACUCUUCACAGUAAUACGAUGAGGUAGAUAUUAUUGUCCUUCAUUAAAUAUUUAUUGACUAAGUUAAUGAAAGUAAGCCAUGAUUUAAAGAAGCUACCCACUGAACCCCAUGAUAGAAUUCAAGGGCUGUCUACCAUAGUUGAAAAGACUUCUCUCUGUCAAAGGGAACUAUUGUCUUGUGACUACUUCCCUGAAGGUAGCAUGUCUGACCACAUAACAAGGGUGGGAUGACCUCCACCAAAGAGGCUGGGCCAAUGCUAAUGAUGCAGGCCGGAGGCAGAGGGCACCAGCCACCAGGCACUCCUUGCCACCCCCAUAGCAGGGACAUCAUAAAAUGUCUGGGUUUCCCCGGAGGCCAGCAAACAAAGGAACAACUGCCUUUUGGAGUAAGUAAUCCUGAUACUGCAUGUAGUCCAAGGCACACAGAAGGAAUCCCUCUGGCAGAUAAACCGUAGAGUUGCACAGCAAGAGGGACCUUACAAAUGAUCUAAGACUGUGCUUUUGUUUUCAGGAUGAGGAAACAGAAGCCUGUAAAGGGGUUAGUGUCCAAGACUGCCAUUGCCAGCUACGUGACCUUGGGAAAGUCCCUCAGUGCCUCCAUUUCCCUGUUGACAGACAGGGCAUGACUGUGCCGAGCACAUGGAAUUGUUGUGACAGCAAAUGAAAUCAUCUCUGCGAUGUGUGGGAGGCUGAGCUGAGUGCUGGGCAAGUGCUCACCGCACAUUCCUGGUCAUUGUUGUUGUUAUCGUGGCAGGAGGAUUUCAUUGAGUUUGGAGCCCUUCCCAGGGUAACAAAGCAAGGAGUCAUUUAAGAUUAAUGUUGCUCUUUUAUGAUCUAGAUAGGCCCUUGGGCAGAGCAAGAAGAAACCAAAGCUGCUUCUCACCAGCCAUGUGGGCUCACUGGCUAGGAGAGCUGAUUGGGCUCCUUUUUAAACUUGGAAAAUAAUUCCUCUUUAAAUAUGGUUUUGGACAAUAAAAAUGAAACAUAUGUACCUGUAAAAAAUGA
rnacentral:lncRNA from 10 species